UUCGGUGCCAGCAGCCGCGGUAAUACGGAGGGGGUUAGCGUUGUUCGGAAUUACUGGGCGUAAAGCGCGCGUAGGCGGAUUAGAAAGUUGGGGGUGAAAUCCCGGGGCUCAACCCCGGAACUGCCUCCAAAACUGCUAGUCUAGAGUUCGAGAGAGGUGAGUGGAAUUCCGAGUGUAGAGGUGAAAUUCGUAGAUAUUCGGAGGAACACCAGUGGCGAAGGCGGCUCACUGGCUCGAUACUGACGCUGAGGUGCGAAAGUGUGGGGAGCAAACAGGAUUAGAUACCCUGGUAGUCCACACCGUAAACGAUGAAUGCCAGUCGUCGGAUAGUAUACUAUUCGGUGACACACCUAACGGAUUAAGCAUUCCGCCUGGGGAGUACGGUCGCAAGAUUAAAACU
rnacentral:rRNA from 1 species